rnacentral:rRNA from 1 species
CCCUUAGAUGUUCUGGGCUGCACGCGCGCUACACUGAUACUUUCAGCGAGUCCACCACCUUGCCUGGGAGGGUGGGGUAACCUCUGGAAAGUGCAUCGUGAUGGGGAUCGAUUAUUGUAAUUAUUAAUCUUCAACGAGGAAUUCCUAGUAAGCAUGUGUCAUCAGCCCGUGCUGAUUACGUCCCUGCCCUUUGUACACACCGCCCGUCGCUCCUACCGAUUGGAUGAUCCGGUGAGCUAUUCGGACUUUCGCAUUGUCGAUUUUCGGCUUUACGAGGGAAAGUCUCGCGAACCUUAUCAUCUAGAGGAAGGAGAAGUCGUAACA